CCUACGGGAGGCAGCAGUAGGGAAUAUUGCUCAAUGGGGGAAACCCUGAAGCAGCAACGCCGCGUGGAGGAUGAAGGUUUUCGGAGUGUAAACUCCUUUUGUUAGAGAAGAGAAUGACGGUAUCUAACGAAUAAGCACCGGCUAACUCCGUGCCAGCAGCCGCGGUAAUACGGAGGGGGCAAGCGUUACUCGGAAUCACUGGGCGUAAAGAGCGCGGAGGCGGGAUCGCAAGUCAGAUGUGAAAUCCUAUGGCUUAACCCUAGAACUGCAUUUGAAACUGUUAUUCUAGAGUAUGGGAGAGGUAGGUGGAAUUCUUGGUGUAGGGGUCAAAUCCGUAGAGAUCACGCGGAAUACUCAUUGCGAAGGCGACCUGCUAGAACAUAACUGACGCUGAUGCGCGAAAGCGUGGGGAGCAAACAGGAUUAGAUACCCCGGUAGUC
rnacentral:rRNA from 1 species